AAUAGAUACCCUGGUAGUCCAUGCCGUAAACGUUGGGCACUAGGUGUGGGGCUCAUUCCACGAGUUCCGUGCCGCAGCUAACGCAUUAAGUGCCCCGCCUGGGGAGUACGGCCGCAAGGCUAAAACUCAAAGGAAUUGACGGGGGCCCGCACAAGCGGCGGAGCAUGCGGAUUAAUUCGAUGCAACGCGAAGAACCUUACCAAGGCUUGACAUGCACCGGAAACACUCAGAGAUGGGUGCCCCGUAAGGUCGGUGCACAGGUGGUGCAUGGUUGUCGUCAGCUCGUGUCGUGAGAUGUUGGGUUAAGUCCCGCAACGAGUGCAACCCUCGUCCUAUGUUGCCAGCGGGUUAUGCCGGGGACUCGUGGGAGACUGCCGGUGACAAAUCGGAGGAAGGUGGGGAUGAUGUCAAGUCAUCAUGCCCCUUAUGUCCUGGGCUACACACGUGCUACAUUGGCCGGUACAAAGGGCUGCAAACCUGCGAGGGUGAGCGAAUCCCAAAAAGCCGGUCCCGGUUCGGAUUGAAGGCUGAACUCG
rnacentral:rRNA from 1 species